rnacentral:rRNA from 1 species
CAUGCCAAUGGCACUGCCCGGUAGCUAAAUGCGGAAGAGAUAAGUGCUGAAAGCAUCUAAGCACGAAACUUGCCCCGAGAUGAGUUCUCCCUGAGACUUUAGGUCUCCUGAAGGAACGUUGAAGACGACGACGUUGAUAGGCCGGGUGUGUAAGCGCAGCGAUGCGUUGAGCUAACCGGUACUAAUGAACCGUGAGGCUUAACCUUACAACGCCGAAG